rnacentral:rRNA from 1 species
CCUGGCGGCGUGCCUAAUACAUGCAAGUAGAACGCUGAAGAGAGGAGCUUGCUCUUCUUGGAUGAGUUGCGAACGGGUGAGUAACGCGUAGGUAACCUGCCUGGUAGCGGGGGAUAACUAUUGGAAACGAUAGCUAAUACCGCAUAAAAUUGAUUAUUGCAUGAUAAUUAAUUGAAAGAUGCAAUUGCAUCACUACCAGAUGGACCUGCGUUGUAUUAGCUAGUUGGUGAGGUAACGGCUCACCAAGGCGACGAUACAUAGCCGACCUGAGAGGGUGAUCGGCCACACUGGGACUGAGACACGGCCCAGACUCCUACGGGAGGCAGCAGUAGGGAAUCUUCGGCAAUGGGGGGAACCCUGACCGAGCAACGCCGCGUGAGUGAAGAAGGUUUUCGGAUCGUAAAGCUCUGUUGUAAGAGAAGAACGGGUGUGAGAGUGGAAAGUUCACACUGUGACGGUAUCUUACCAGAAAGGGACGGCUAACUACGUGCCAGCAGCCGCGGUAAUACGUAGGUCCCGAGCGUUGUCCGGAUUUAUUGGGCGUAAAGCGAGCGCAGGCGGUUAGAUAAGUCUGAAGUUAAAGGCUGUGGCUUAACCAUAGUAUGCUUUGGAAACUGUUUAACUUGAGUGCAGAAGGGGAGAGUGGAAUUCCAUGUGUAACGGUGAAAUGCGUAGAUAUAUGGAGGAACACCGGUGGGGAAAGCGGCUCUCUGGUCUGUAACUGACGCUGAGGCUCGAAAGCGUGGGGAGCAAACAGGAUAAGAUACCCUGGUAGUCCACGCCGUAAACGAUGAGUGCUAGGUGUUAGGCCCUUUCCGGGGCUUAGUGCCGCAGCUAACGCAUUAAGCACUCCGCCUGGGGAGUACGACCGCAAGGUUGAAACUCAAAGGAAUUGACGGGGGCCCGCACAAGCGGUGGAGCAUGUGGUUUAAUUCGAAGCAACGCGAAGAACCUUACCAGGUCUUGACAUCCCUCUGACCGCUCUAGAGAUAGAGUUUUCCUUCGGGACAGAGGUGACAGGUGGUGCAUGGUUGUCGUCAGCUCGUGUCGUGAGAUGUUGGGUUAAGUCCCGCAACGAGCGCAACCCCUAUUGUUAGUUGCCAUCAUUCAGUUGGGCACUCUAGCGAGACUGCCGGUAAUAAACCGGAGGAAGGUGGGGAUGACGUCAAAUCAUCAUGCCCCUUAUGACCUGGGCUACACACGUGCUACAAUGGCUGGUACAACGAGUCGCAAGCCGGUGACGGCAAGCUAAUCUCUGAAAGCCAGUCUCAGUUCGGAUUGUAGGCUGCAACUCGCCUACAUGAAGUCGGAAUCGCUAGUAAUCGCGGAUCAGCACGCCGCGGUGAAUACGUUCCCGGGCCUUGUACACACCGCCCGUCACACCACGAGAGUUUGUAACACCCGAAGUCGGUGAGGUAACCGCAAGGAGCCAGCCGCCUAAGGUGGGAUAGAUGAUUGGGG